ACGGAAGGCAGCAGUGGGGAAUAUUGGACAAUGGGGGAAACCCUGAUCCAGCGACGCCGCGUGAGUGAAGAAGUAUUUCGGUAUGUAAAGCUCUAUCAGCAGGGAAGAAAAUGACGGUACCUGACUAAGAAGCCCCGGCUAACUACGUGCCAGCAGCCGCGGUAAUACGUAGGGGGCAAGCGUUAUCCGGAUUUACUGGGUGUAAAGGGAGCGUAGACGGCAGAGCAAGUCUGAAGUGAAAGCCCGGGGCUCAACUCCGGGACUGCUUUGGAAACUGCCCAGCUAGAGUGCAGGAGGGGCAAGCGGAAUUCCUAGUGUAGCGGUGAAAUGCGUAGAUAUUAGGAGGAACACCGGUGGCGAAGGCGGCUUGCUGGACUGUAACUGACGUUGAGGCUCGAAAGCGUGGGGAGCAAACAGGAUUAGAUACCCUGGUA
rnacentral:rRNA from 1 species